rnacentral:sRNA from 1 species
UGUGGGAGCGAGCCUGCUCGCGAUGAGGGCGUGUCAGUCGACAUCAUUGUCUUCUGAUGCACCGCUAUCGCGAGCAGGCUCGCUCCCACA